GACGAACGCUGGCGGCGUGCCUAAUACAUGCAAGUCGAGCGGGGAUUAUGCUUGAUCGCUUCGGUGAGACGGCAUAUAUCCUAGCGGCGGACGGGUGAGUAACGCGUGGGUAAUCUACCUCGUAGUUCGGGAUAACAGGCCGAAAGGCUUGCUAAUACCGGAUGAGUUCAUGCUUAUGCAUAUAGGCAUGAAGAAAGGGCUAGCCCGCUAUGAGAUGAGCCCGCGUCCCAUUAGAUUGUUGGUGAGGUAAUGGCUCACCAAGUCGACGAUCGUUAGCUGGUCUGAGAGGAUGAUCAGCCAGACUGGGACUGAGAACGGCCCAGACUCCUACGGGAGGCAGCAGUAGGGAAUUUUCCACAAUGGACGAAAGUCUGAUGGAGCAACGCCGCGUGCAGGAUGAAUGCCUUCGGGUUGUAAACUGCUUUUAUCUGUGACGAAUAUGACGGUAGCAGAUGAAUAAGGAUCGG
rnacentral:rRNA from 1 species